AGCAUGUUGCUAGUGUUGUGUUGGUUUUUUUUUUUUUAAUCCUAUACAUUUUACUAAAAAUAAGUUUACCAAAAGAAAAGUCUGCUUUAAUUUAAUUGUGCUUUAAAAAAUCCCAUCAUCUUCCAGGAAUUAGUUACAGUAUUGUUAGAAUAUGAAACCAUAGUCAGCAAAAGAAGAACCCCACAUAAAAGAAAUUGUAUGAUCAGGAUGCAGAAACCUAUGCACUUACAGGUCUUUUCACCUUCAUUUCCUGUGCUGGGUAUUUCACGGUUAAUGGUGAAAGGAAGGGAUUUGGAGACAACCUGGUGCCCUGCUAGGCGGUGUGGAGGCUUUGCUGGGCGCCAUGGGAUGACAGCAUCCUCUUGACGCUGAUACAGAGAGAAGGGUCAUCGCCAUGCCAGGACAGUGACAGCAGGGGCAGCUGCCACCCCCACUGGCACAUGCUGCUUGACUCGGUGCCUAAAGAUAACAAAACUAGAGCCAUAGGAAAACAGAAGAAUUCCAUUAGCGGGAGCGUUCAUCCUCGGGGAGAGAAAAUGGUAUUUGACAGCCCAGAGACUUGUCACAUGAUGCAGGAAGCACACACCAUCCGGGCCCCUCAGGUACAUCUUCCUUCCCCAGGACAAACCCUACUUAGCAUAGAGGAGUUAACAAAAUCACAGCCCAAGAUGGUAUGACAGCAGCUUGAUUAAUAACGAUUAUCACAGCAGAUGGAAAACUGUAGACAAACUUUCCAUAGAAUGAGUCUACCACAAAAUUUCUUGAUGAGACAGAAGGAUGGUUAGCGACCACAGACUUAUUCCUUACUGAACGGAAUAAAAUUGCUGAAUUUCUACUCACCCCUUUUGAUAAUUUUCACAGAUCUCCAGUGGCUUACAUUUGAGAUUCAGACCUCUCAUUCAUGUGUGAAAUAUACUGCUUACUAUGCGGACGUGUGAUACUUCAUAGGGCAGCGAACGGCGCGUUCCUCCUUAAAUGUAUGUGUGUGCAUGUGUCUCUGAGCAAAAGUGACUACAAAGGUAUUCUGUUCAGCACUUCAGCUUUCCAGUGGGUAUGGAUACUUGGACCUCUGCUGCUGAGAGAAAGCAAGUUUUACACCCACCACCAGAAUGUUUUUUGAUCAUUUGGGUUGUUUUGCUUCGUCCCUGCUUUUUGUUGUUUAAUUUCCAUUACAGCGCGAAUAGCCUCAGCAGGCGCUAACCAUUAAUUCUGGAACACAGAGCCAGCGUCUCUUUUUAUUCCCUCCCUCCCGCCACAGCUCAUCUCAACAUGGAAGAGAAAGGACCUUGCCCUCCUCCUUGUGCCGCUGCUGGAAGGAGAAAGAGCCCUCCGUCCCCUCACGUCUGCUGCAGGACAGGGGGCCCAAGAGGGCCUCAGCACACUGGUUGCAAGACAGAGACCAGUGACCAGAGCCAAAGCAAGUGGAAAGCAAGGAAAGGCUCCUCUCUUGGAUCCAAAGAGCCUCCCGGUGCUGGGUAAAGAUGCCAGUCGGUGCGCGAGUCUUCAAAUGUUGCUCUGCUCCUCCUGCCCCCAUACCAAGGGGAGCCCCCUCCAGCAACUUUGCUUAAUUAACCUGUUCAGAGAAGCUAGAAAACCCCUUCAGCUGAAUAGUUCACAAAUUGAGCCUCAACUGCCAGCAGAUUCCUGUCUUGUAUACUAUUCAGAGUAUUAAUUAUCCUAUCAAAUACUCUGUGUUCCUGCCCCACUCUUAAAGAACCAAAAUCCAAAGGAGAAUGCAUUUGCUAAGCAAACCCAGACACACGCACCUGCCCUGUAUCAGUGAGAGGCGUCAGGCAGGGGAAGAUGUGGAGCUGAGGCGUUUCUGUACCGUGAUUUUAAACGACUUGCCACCAAAAUGGUCCUGGUGAAGGCCGAGGGGCUGAGCCAGAACAUUGACCAGGAGCUUGCAGGUCUGGGCUCCGGCUCCCGCUUUCACUCCUCACCUGCCUGGCUGCCUGCCUUCCUGCCUGCCUGCCCCUUGGCCUAGUCACUUGUCCUCCCUCACAAUCAGCUUCCCAUCUGUAAAAUGUGUCUGAAAUUCACGGGACUGUUGCAAGAACCUAUAAGAUAAUGAAGGUGGAAGCACUUUGUAAACUCUAAGGAAUUACACAAGUGUAAGGGCCCUGGCCAUGUCUCAAUGGCAUGACCGCUUCCUUGCUCGUGAACCAAUAGGAUUGGGAAGUAGGUUAGGGAUGGAGGUACCCUCUCGGCCUCACCUAUCCCCUCUGAAAUACAUGUGUGUUUACCUGGCCCCCACUGAUAGUGAGACUACCAAGGAUGGCUCCGUUUAAAAAUAGGACAACAUGUAUUGCCUAUUAAAAAGGGAAAUACGCUCUGGGGAAGGUUCUAAGUAAGAGUUUGGGGGCCAGAGGGUCAGGGUUGAAAUCAUUCCUCUGCGCCUGGCUGUGUGACACUGUGUAAGUUACUUAACCUCAAUAAGCCUCCAUUUCCUCCACUGUAAAAUGCGGGUGGCCAUGACAUUGCCCUUCUUAGGGUUACUGUAAUGAUUAAAUGAGAGAACGCAUGUUAACCAUUUGUCCCAGGACCUGGCACGUGGUCAAGUCGGUAAGAGCUACCCAACCUUUGUGCCAUGGAGUUCGGAGCAGGCCUCCAGACGGCUGUUUGUAAAUAUGGUGGGCAUUACGUGAAUUGGUGGUGUUCAGCCAUUCAUUUCAGCUACUUUCUCAAGCCAUCCAAGGCUUUGUUCAAAUGCUACCACCUCCAGAAACCCUUUCUUAAUCCAGUCCCCAAGCCUGCUCCCCGCGAUGUAGUCAUUUAACUGUUAGGUCGGGCCAGCUUCAUGGGCACAGGAACUGUGCAGCGGUAAAGAGCCCUCACUCGCAAGACCCACAUGUGGCUUCCUGCUCUGCUGUCUUUUGGAUCAAGGGACCUUGUAUUUUCACUUGGCACUGGGCCCUGCAAAUUAGGUAGCUGGUCCAGGUUACAAUAUUUCAUUUUUGCCCCAGUUCUGUCUCAGAAAUUGUAUAAUUUGUUGUUGACAGGCCUUUCAGAAUACAUAAUUUGUCCUCAUUCUUCAUGAAUUCCAGAAUUGUGACUUUGCCCACUUGCUGAAUUUAUGUUACCCCCAAAUCAACACCGUGGCACUUUCACAAUCAGGCGCAGAUGUGUGCAGAGUGGAGAAAAACUCGAAUCGUCCCACACACAUGUUCCCACGUGAGGUCAAACCAGGGGAUGCUCUGCCUGCUCAUUUUAAUUUUCAACCUGUAAACAAGUGUCCUCUUUGUGGUACGUUUAAUGACACAUUUUUUGCACCUUUGUGCUUUUUGUUGAUGCUAUUGCCAUUUAAAAUGGCCCCCAAGGGUAGGGCUGCAGUGCGUCUAGCAUCCCUAAGUGCACAAAGGCUGUGAUGUGCCUUAUGGAGAAAAUACAUGUGUAGAUAUGCUUUGUUCACCCAUGAGUUAUGAUGCUGUUGGCCAUGAGCUCAACGUUAAUGAGUUAACAAUAUGUGUUAAAUAUCAUGUCUGUAAACAGACACACACUCACAAAGACAAGGCAUGUAUUGAUCAACGGAC
ensembl:lncRNA